rnacentral:rRNA from 1 species
AGGACGAACGCUGGCGGCGUGCUUAACACAUGCAAGUCGAGCGGAAAGGCCACUUCGGUGGUACUCGAGCGGCGAACGGGUGAGUAACACGUGAGUAAUCUGCCCUCCACUUAGGGAUAGCCACCGGAAACGGUGAUUAAUACCGGAUAUGACCUCGCAUCGCAUGGUGUGUGGUGGAAAGUUUUUCGGUGGGGGAUGUGCUCGCGGCCUAUCAGCUUGAUGGUGGGGUAAUGGCCUACCAUGGCUUCGACGGGUAGCCGGCCUGAGAGGGUGACCGGCCACACUGGGACUGAGACACGGCCCAGACUCCUACGGGAGGCAGCAGUGGGAAUAUGGACAAUGGGCGAAGCCUGAUCCAGCAACGCGCGUGAGGAUGACGGCCUUGGGUUGUAAACCUCUUUCAGCACAGACGAAGCGAAAGUGACGGUAUGUGCAGAAGAAGCACCGGUACAACUACGUGCCAGCAGCCGC